rnacentral:rRNA from 1 species
GUGGGGAAUUUUGCGCAAUGGGGGAAACCCUGACGCAGCAACGCCGCGUGGAGGAUGAAGGCCUUCGGGUCGUAAACUCCUGUCGACCGGGACGAAAGCAGCUCGGCCCAAUACGCCGAGCUGUCGACUGUACCGGUGGAGGAAGCUCCGGCUAACUCUGUGCCAGCAGCCGCGGUAAUACAGAGGGAGCGAGCGUUGUUCGGAAUUACUGGGCGUAAAGGGCGCGUAGGCGGCCUUGCAAGUCUCGUGUGAAAUCCCUCGGCUCAACUGAGGAACUGCACGGGAAACUGUUUGGCUUGAGUUCGGGAGAGGGAAGCGGAAUUCCGGGUGUAGCGGUGAAAUGCGCAGAUAUCCGGAGGAACACCAGUGGCGAAGGCGGCUUCCUGGACCGACACUGACGCUGAGGCGCGAAAGCUAGGGGAGCAAACGGGAUUAGAUACCCUAGUAGUCC